CUGCCCUUAGUACGAGAGGACCGGGGUGGACUGACCUCUGGUGUAUCGGUUGCAUUACCAAGUGCAUGGCCGAGUAGCCAAGUCGGGACGGGAUAAACGCUGAAGGCAUCUAAGCGUGAAGCCCCCCUCAAGAUGAGAUAUCCCAUACGAAUGUAGUAAGACCCCUUGAAGACGACGAGGUUGAUAGGCAAAAGGUGGAAGCGUGGUGACAUGUGGAGCUGAUUUGUACUAAUAGGUCGAGGGCUUAACCA
rnacentral:rRNA from 1 species